ACCAGACUCCUACGGGAGGCAGCAGUGGGGGAUAUUGCACAAUGGGGGGAACCCUGAUGCAGCGACGCCGCGUGGGUGAAGAAGCGCCUCGGCGCGUAAAGCCCUGUCAGCAGGGAAGAAAAUGACGGUACCUGAAGAAGAAGCCCCGGCUAACUACGUGCCAGCAGCCGCGGUAAUACGUAGGGGGCAAGCGUUAUCCGGAUUUACUGGGUGUAAAGGGGGCGCAGACGGCGAUGCAAGCCAGGAGUGAAAGCCCGGGGCCCAACCCCGGGACUGCUCUUGGAACUGCGUGGCUGGAGUGCAGGAGGGGCAGGCGGAAUUCCUGGUGUAGCGGUGAAAUGCGUAGAUAUCAGGAGGAACACCGGUGGCGAAGGCGGCCUGCUGGACUGCAACUGACGUUGAGGCCCGAAAGCGUGGGGAGCAAACAGGAUUAGAUACCCCCGUACG
rnacentral:rRNA from 1 species